rnacentral:rRNA from 1 species
CGUAGGGUGCAAGCGUUAAUCGGAAUUACUGGGCGUAAAGCGUGCGCAGGCGGUUAUGAAGACAGGUGUGAAAUCCCCGGGCUUAACCUGGGAACUGCAUUUGUGACUGCAUAGCUAGAGUACGGUAGAGGGGGAUGGAAUUCCGCGUGUAGCAGUGAAAUGCGUAGAUAUGCGGAGGAACACCGAUGGCGAAGGCAAUCCCCUGGACCUGUACUGACGCUCAUGCACGAAAGCGUGGGGAGCAAACAGGAUUAGAUACCCUGGUAGUCCACGCCCUAAACGAUGUCAACUGGUUGUUGGGUCUUCACUGACUCAGUAACGAAGCUAACGCGUGAAGUUGACCGCCUGGGGAGUACGGCCGCAAGGUUG